CUUAACCCACUGAGUGAGAUCAGGGAUCGAACCUUCAACCUCAUGGUUCCUAGCUGUGCCACGACGGGAACUCCAGGUUUUCUUACACGUACUAAAGCCAUCAUGAUGCCUAUGCGUUUGCUCCUACCAUGUACACACGUGCACCGUGUUCACAUGCAAUCUCAAAGCUCUUAAAAGACCAAGAGCCUUUCCUUGAUGUAUUAUUUAAAGGAGAAAGAUGCCUUGUUUUAUAAUGCAUUGUUGAGGGGGGAAAAAGGUUAUCACAAAACCAAAUGUAUAGAAUGACACCACUGCUCUAAAUAAGGUUAAAUAAAAUCUGGGGAUACAAGGUUCAAAAUGUUAACAAGGCUUAUCUCUGGGUGAUGAACUUACGGGUGGGUUUUUUCAUUUUUUCCUUUCUGCUUCUCUAUAUUUGCCAAAGUUUUAGGCAAUAGGCUUGUACUUCUUUUCCAAUUAGAAGAAUGAAGUUAAAUCAUAGGGGUUUUUAAUCUCCUUUUCUAGGUUCCUCCAAAUAUAAUUAAGACAGGCUGGAAUUUUUUUUUUUUAAUUUUACUAAAUUAAAUUGUAAAAGCAAUGACACCCUCUAAAAGAGAGGUUUACAAAAUUUUCUGACUUAACCACAGCUACUGACAAAUUGCUUACUGGAUCACUUCACAUACAGUUCCUUUCAUGCCUGGAAGCCUGGUAUGCUGGCAGAGCGCAAAUAUUUUGGAUUCUCCACUCUCUGAUUCUGACCCACAUGCAAGCAACUGGGCCAUCCUAACUUUCUAUCACCUGCAACAUAGUCCCCUAGGUCUCCUCCCAUUUGCUGCCAAUAUCUAAAGGUCUUUGGGCCUUGCUACCCACCAAGAGCUCCCCACUCAGUCUCAGUGGGAGAAGGGGGGCAGUUGUUAGGUAUGGAAGGCUUGCCCCUUCUCCAGCUCAGGGCUGGGGUAGAUACCACAAGGAGUGAGCUCAUCCUUCAAAGUUCUCUCACCUCUGCAGACAUGGAAUGACCUUGUCCAUCAAAGACCCAAUUACAUCACAAUCCUUUAGUGUGGUGGUUCCCAAAGUAUGGUUCAGGGACCUCCAGGGAUUACCAAGGCCCUUCUAGAGAGUGUCAUAUUCAAGGUCAAAUGAUUUCCGUAAUAAUGCUAAAACUGCAUUUUCCUUUUCACUUUCAUUCUUUUAGGAGUGAACAAUGGAUAUUCCAGAAGCUAAGUAACAAGUCACAACAGACUGAAUACAGAAGCACAUAUGAGAUCCAACUAUCUUCUACAGAUACUAGAGAUCUGCAAAAAUGUAAAACAAUGCCAUUCUUCUAAUUUUUGUCAUUGUAAAUGCAAUUAUUUUUCAGCUAGAAAAUGUAAGCAUGGCAUGGGCUUGUAACUGCUAUUUUUAUAUAUUCAAUAACUAUUUUUAAAUUUUAUUAACCUUAAUUUCUACAGUGGUAAAUGUCAAUAGAUAUAAACCACAUAUACUUGAGCAUAUCGGUGUUGUCAAUCAUUUUUAAAAGUACAAAGGGAUCUUGAGACCAAAAAGUUUGGUCUCGGACAUAAAAAAAGACCCUUAGGAUAGGGAUAGAGCAGGCGCAGGUGGUUGUAGAAGUCCCAGUAGGGGAUCAUAGGUAAAGAGGAAAACCUGGGAGAUGUUCAAGAAAGCCAUCAGAACAAGGCAGGCUUGCGUGACUGGUGUAGGUGCGAGAAUUGCCGCAGGUCAUUGGGUGGGGGUGGGAUGGGGACUGUGUUCAGAUUCAGACCAAGGGCAAGUGUUUGAAGACUACCCUUCAGCUGAUUUGAAUAAACACUUUACCAGAUACUAAGGAGGAGCUACCACUCCCAGAAAGGAAGAGGCGGGCCUUUCCGCCCCCCACUUCCAUUGGCUGAUAAAAGCAUAGCCCCCUGAAUCCUGGUGCAGAAGCUUCUUUGCCUGUCUGUUUGCAUCUCUCACAAGCGUCUUAUCCUAACAAAUCGGUGUCUUGCCUAUCACUUUGUCUCUCACUCAAUUCCGUCUGCUCGGAGGCAUGAAGUAUCUGAACCUCAGUGAGUCCAGACACAAGGCCAAGAAAAACAACACAGGAUCUUUGGAAGGAUACAGAAACCAAAUUAAACAGGGCUCCAUUCUGAAGAUCUUCUAUGCUCCCAAAUCCCAUCAUCACAAAGGACUGACAGACCACUGAUAGAACUCCAGGCUGGGGCCCGCAUUAAUUCAUGUGCUGGCAAAGAGGAGGGAAAUGUGUGCGACACUUUGCGCUUUACAAAACUCAAACCUUGGGAGUUCCUGUAGUGGCUCAGCAGGUUAAAGACCCGACAUUGUCUCUGCGAGAACAUGGGUUCGAUCCCUGGCCUUCUUCAGUGACUUGGGGUUCAGGCGUUGCCCCAAGCAGCAGUGUAGGUCGCAGAAGCAGCUCUGAUCAGACCCCUAGCCUGGGAACUCCCAUACGCCACAGGCACG